AUUCUGUUGGCGUAAAAGAUAUGGAAUUGCCGGAGCUGCAAGCAUAAAAAUUCAGCAGAAGGCAAAACGUAUCGGAAUGCUUCCACCGAAAGAGCUAAAUGCGUUAUAGAACCUGAAGAUUCAAGGAAACACCUGUCUGUCAAGCUAGAAAGUAUUUCUUUCUGUCUUAUGAUGAUUCCAUUGAUAAGGUACCG